GACGAACGCUGGCGGCGUGCCUAAUACAUGCAAGUUGAGCGAUGAAGAUUGGUGCUUGCACCAAUUUGAAGAGCAGCGAACGGGUGAGUAACGCGUGGGGAAUCUGCCUUUGAGCGGGGGACAACAUUUGGAAACGAAUGCUAAUACCGCAUAACAACUUUAAACAUAAGUUUUAAGUUUGAAAGAUGCAAUUGCAUCACUCAAAGAUGAUCCCGCGUUGUAUUAGCUAGUUGGUGAGGUAAAGGCUCACCAAGGCGAUGAUACAUAGCCGACCUGAGAGGGUGAUCGGCCACAUUGGGACUGAGACACGGCCCAAACUCCUACGGGAGGCAGCAGUAGGGAAUCUUCGGCAACAGACGAAAGUCUGACCGAGCAACGCCGCGUGAGUGAAGAAGGUUUUCGGAUCGUAAAACUCGGUUGGUAGAGAAGAACGUUGGUGAGAGUGGAAAGCUCAUCAAGUGACGGUAACUACCCAGAAAGGGACGGCUAACUACGUG
rnacentral:rRNA from 1 species